rnacentral:rRNA from 1 species
UACGAAGGGUGCAAACGUUGCUCGGAAUCAUUGGGCGUAAAGCGCACGUAGGCGGCCUUAUAAGUCGGAUGUGAAAUCCCACGGCUCAACCGUGGACGUGCAUUCGAAACUGCAAGGCUCGAGUAUGGAAGAGGGUCGCAGAAUUCCCGGUGUAGAGGUGAAAUUCGUAGAUAUCGGGAGGAAUACCAGUGGCGAAGGCGGCGACCUGGGCCAAUACUGACGCUGAGGUGCGAAAGCGUGGGGAGCAAACAGG